UACGGAGGGGGCUGGCGUUGUUCGGAAUUACUGGGCGUAAAGCGCGCGUAGGCGGCUUUGUAAGUUAGAGGUGAAAGCCCAGGGCUUAACCCUGGAAUUGCCUUUAAGACUGCAUCGCUAGAAUCGUGGGGAGGUGAGUGGAAUUCCGAGUGUAGAGGUGAAAUUCGUAGAUAUUCGGAAGAACACCAGUGGCGAAGGCGACUCACUGGACACGUAUUGACGCUGAGGUGCGAAAGCGUGGGGAGCAAACAGG
rnacentral:rRNA from 1 species